rnacentral:tRNA from 1 species
GGUCGAUUGGCCCAGUGGUUAAGGCAUUUGCUUUACAAAAUACGCAAAGGAUCGCAGGUUCGAUCCCUGCAUCGAUCA